AUACCUUUCUCGGCCUUUUGGCUAAGAUCAAGUGUAGUAUCUGUUCUUAUCAGUUUAAUAUCUGAUACGUGGGCCAUCGGCCCACAUGAUAUUAAAUUAAUUUUUCAAGGGGGAGAGCCCACCCGCAGUAGCUUGCUAUUGGGGCUCUCCAGCAUCGCCCAUUCGUUGCACUACAGUUUGGGCCAGGCGCACCCCUC